rnacentral:rRNA from 1 species
GACGAACGCUGGCGGCGUGCUUAACACAUGCAAGUCGAACGGAAAGGCCCCCACCUUGGUGGGGGUGCUCGAGUGGCGAACGGGUGAGUAACACGUGGGUGAUCUGCCCUGUACUUCGGGAUAAGCUUGGGAAACUGGGUCUAAUACCGGAUAGGACCAUGGUUUAGUGUCUCAUGGUGGAAAAAUUAUUGUUUUGGUGCAGGAUGAGCUCGCGGCCUAUCAGCUUGUUGGUGGGGUAAUGGCCUACCAAGGCGUCGACGGGUAGCCGGCCUGAGAGGGUGGACCGGCACAAUGGGAAUGGGGUACCGCCCAGGACUCUAAGGGAGGGAGGAGGUGGGGAGAAUGGACAAUGGGCGGCAGGCUUAAGCAGCGGAGCCGGGGUGGGGAUGACCGCCCUUGGGGUUGAAACUCCUUUCGUUAGGGACGAAGCCACACCUUUUUUGGGUGUGGUGACGGUACCUUUGUGAAGAAGCACCGGCUAACUACGUG